UCACUCGCGCUCGAUCUACCUUGUACGGAGUGCCCGGCGGGUCCUUGGACCCUAAACCAGCCAUUCAGACAGAAGGAGCCAAGAUGGUUGACCUUUCCUUGCCUUAUGAAAAGAGCACGUCCAAUCGAAGACCUUCCCAUCGGGCGGGCAUAGGUCAAGUAAUCUUAAUCGCCUCUAACGGAGUAGCUUUCCAAUAAACAUAUUCCUUCUCCUGCGCCCCACGCUCGCAUCGGUCACCAACUGACGAACCAA
rnacentral:lncRNA from 1 species